UGCGGCACCGGCCCCGGCCCUGCCCGGCCCCGGCCCCCGGCACGGCCCUGCCCCGGCCCCCGGCUCGGAGCGGCGCCCGCGUGGAUGGGAUGGAAGCGGGACCCUCGGGAGCAGCUGCAGGCGCAUACCUGCCCCCCUUGCAGCAGGUGUUUCAAGCACCACGUCGGCCUGGGAUAGGAACUGUUGGAAAGCCCAUCAAGCUCCUGGCCAACUACUUUGAAGUGGACAUUCCCAAGAUCGAUGUGUAUCAUUAUGAAGUGGAUAUCAAACCCGAUAAAUGUCCACGCAGAGUCAACAGGGAAGUCGUGGAGUACAUGGUGCAGCACUUCAAACCGCAGAUCUUUGGUGACCGAAAACCAGUCUACGACGGGAAGAAGAACAUCUACACUGUCACAGCCUUACCCAUUGGGAACGAGCGGGUUGACUUUGAGGUGACAAUCCCAGGGGAAGGCAAGGACAGGAUAUUUAAAGUCUCUAUAAAAUGGAUGGCCAUCGUGAGCUGGCGCAUGCUGCACGAGGCCCUGGUCAGCGGGCAGAUCCCUGUCCCACUGGAGUCCGUCCAGGCGCUGGAUGUUGCCAUGAGGCACCUGGCUUCCAUGAGGUACACUCCCGUCGGCCGCUCCUUCUUCUCCCCCCCUGAAGGCUACUACCACCCCCUGGGAGGGGGCAGGGAGGUCUGGUUCGGCUUCCACCAGUCAGUCCGGCCUGCCAUGUGGAAGAUGAUGCUCAACAUCGAUGUGUCGGCCACUGCCUUCUACAAAGCCCAGCCUGUCAUCGAGUUCAUGUGUGAGGUGCUGGACAUCCGGAACAUCGAUGAGCAGCCCAAGCCCCUGACAGACUCACAGAGAGUGCGUUUCACCAAGGAGAUCAAAGGUCUGAAGGUGGAGGUGACCCACUGUGGACAGAUGAAGAGGAAAUACCGUGUGUGUAACGUUACCCGACGGCCAGCCAGCCACCAGACGUUCCCACUGCAGCUGGAGAGUGGUCAAACAGUGGAGUGCACAGUGGCUCAGUACUUCAAGCAGAAAUACAACCUGCAGCUGAAAUAUCCUCACCUGCCCUGUCUCCAGGUUGGCCAGGAACAGAAACACACAUACCUUCCCUUGGAGGUGUGUAACAUCGUGGCAGGCCAGCGGUGUAUCAAGAAGCUCACGGACAAUCAAACCUCAACCAUGAUAAAAGCAACAGCGAGGUCUGCCCCAGACAGGCAGGAGGAGAUCAGUCGCCUGAUGAAGAAUGCCAGCUACAACCUGGAUCCAUACAUUCAGGAGUUUGGGAUCAAGGUGAAGGAUGAUAUGACGGAGGUGACAGGGCGGGUCCUGCCAGCUCCCAUCCUACAGUAUGGAGGCCGGAACCGGGCCAUUGCAACUCCCAAUCAGGGCGUGUGGGACAUGCGAGGGAAGCAGUUCUACAACGGCAUUGAGAUCAAAGUCUGGGCCAUUGCCUGCUUUGCCCCGCAGAAGCAGUGUCGAGAGGAGGUGCUGAAGAACUUCACAGACCAGCUGCGCAAGAUCUCCAAGGACGCCGGGAUGCCGAUCCAGGGCCAGCCCUGCUUCUGCAAGUACGCCCAGGGUGCAGACAGUGUGGAGCCCAUGUUCCGACACCUCAAGAACACCUAUUCAGGGCUUCAGCUCAUCAUUGUCAUCCUGCCAGGGAAGACGCCGGUGUACGCCGAAGUGAAGCGUGUUGGGGACACUCUCCUGGGAAUGGCAACACAGUGCGUCCAGGUCAAGAAUGUGGUGAAAACCUCCCCACAGACCCUUUCCAACCUCUGCCUCAAGAUCAACGUCAAGCUUGGCGGGAUUAACAACAUCCUUGUGCCUCACCAGCGCUCUGCCGUGUUUCAGCAGCCAGUGAUCUUCCUCGGAGCUGAUGUCACUCACCCGCCAGCAGGAGAUGGGAAGAAACCCUCCAUAACGGCUGUUGUGGGCAGCAUGGACGCCCACCCGAGCCGGUACUGUGCCACGGUGCGCGUGCAGCGUCCUCGCCAAGAGAUCAUCGAGGACUUGUCCUACAUGGUGAGGGAGCUCCUCAUCCAGUUCUACAAAUCCACACGCUUCAAACCCACCAGGAUCAUCUUCUACCGUGAUGGUGUUCCUGAGGGGCAGCUCCCACAGAUCCUUCACUAUGAGCUCCUGGCAAUCCGAGACGCCUGCAUCAAACUGGAAAAGGAUUACCAGCCUGGCAUCACCUACAUCGUCGUCCAGAAGAGGCAUCACACCCGUCUCUUCUGUGCAGACAAGAAUGAGAGGAUUGGAAAGAGUGGGAACAUCCCAGCAGGAACAACAGUGGAUACCAAUAUCACCCACCCCUUUGAGUUUGACUUCUACCUGUGCAGUCAUGCAGGCAUUCAGGGCACAAGCCGGCCGUCCCACUACUACGUGCUCUGGGAUGACAACCGGUUCACGGCGGACGAGCUGCAGAUCCUCACGUACCAGCUGUGCCACACCUACGUGCGCUGCACCCGCUCCGUCUCCAUCCCAGCCCCAGCCUAUUAUGCCCGGCUGGUGGCGUUCCGGGCACGGUACCACCUCGUGGAUAAGGAGCACGACAGUGGCGAGGGCAGCCAUAUAUCUGGACAGAGCAACGGCAGAGACCCCCAGGCCUUGGCGAAGGCUGUGCAGGUUCAUCAGGACACUUUACGUACCAUGUACUUUGCUUGAAAGCCUAACUUUUGUUACCUCACUCAAGAAAGCUUUCAGAUUUGUAGGAGCCAUACAAAAAAGGAAGCAUUGGGACACCUUGUUUUUUUUUUUCCAAUGAGAAAUCACUGCAGGGCAGGCAGUGUCGACUUGAGGCAGGAGACCAGCACCAUGCGACAGAAUGAUCCAACACCUUUGUAGGAUUGGAAGAGACUGAUGAUGAUUAUUUUUUUAAUUUUUUCUGGCUUUGCAAAAUUUUGACCUGACCAAACACAUGAAGGCAUUCAAGGGAAGGGAUAAAACUCCUGGGAGGCGGAAGCAGGUUUUCAUUUUUAAGAUGCAAUACUAGAGACUCCUGACUGUGAACUGGCGGCUUUGGUUCUCCGUUGCCCACCAGGCGCUGGAACCUGGUCACUGCUUUUCAGACCCGUUUUGCUGCACAGUGAUCGUACGCACGGCGGCGGGGCCGUGGUGGCAGCUCAGUACCAAUAUCAUCCGGGCACAUUAUCUGGGUUUUUCUCUAUGAAAGUGUUCACAGCGCUUCCUUCAAGACACAAACGAGGCGCACGCUCCUGCCACGUUCUGAGGGGAAGAGCUCUGGUAUCAUUUUCCUGCCGAACGUGUUUCCCAGGUGGCCCCACGCGAGUGCUGCCCCUGGCCCGCACACGGACAGAAGCACAUCUACACCUCUUUGGUUUGUACUUUCUGACGUUUAAACUUGCCUUGCCUUCAUGAAAACCACAACGGUCAUGUUGGCCCAUUGAGCUGUCCUAACCCCGGGAAUUCACUCUUCCUGUUUUCUUUUGGGGCAACGUGUUUGUGAACAGUGACAACAUCACUAUGCUAUGCAAACUAAGUGCUGAGCCCACUGAUGUCACAUUUGGUGAAGAUCCUACGUUUAGCACAGUCCUGUUUUCCUCAAGACCACACUGUUUGGUUCAUAUCCUCCUUUGCACCUUGUGUCAACCUCCACUGCUGUAUAUCCUCAAGGUGACGGGGAGGAGACCAGGACCUCUAUCCGUGGUCUGUAGGUAGGGAACUCUUAGGAAGGCUUUUAGAGCGUAGGGAGCACAUCAACACUAAGUGUCAACAUGAGAAGCCUACAUUCCUCUACACAAGUGCCUGCAUAGUGACACCAAUCAUCACCUCCAUCGCAUCCUCUGAACUCUGACUUAUGUUCAUUGAAAGCAAAACAAUCUCAGAGGGGCUGUUCCCGCUCACCUGGUGUUAGAAAGCUCCUCAUUAAGAAUAAAAUCGGGGUCAAGGUCAAGGUUCUCUCUGCAAAUCAGUUUGUUCACCAGCAUUACACCGGAACACGCCUGGCUGCUGCUCUGCAGUGAGGGGCAAAGGUAUUUUGGUUCCUCGUUUUAAUUUUAGUGUUUUAGUUGGGUCUAGAAUUCUGAAAUAUCUUUUAGUAGCUGUGGCAUAGCACGUGCCAUUUUUAACCAUUUGAAAAGAGAUAGUGUGGGCAUUUACAGAAACAGCUUGUUGCUCUGUAACAAUUUUUUUUAACCUUGAGACUUGAAAUGUAAAAUGGACCUUUAAGAUUUGCACUCAUUUGUAAGGUGGCUGUUCAUAGAAAACUAUGAAUGAAGACUUGCUGAUGUAGCACCUACUUUUAACAGCAAUUUUAACUACACAAAAGCUUCACACCUUCUGAAACUCUCAGCUGUUGACUUGCAGAUCGUGUUCUGCCCUUAUUUCACCCUCUGCGUUGGGUUUUCAUGGUUUUGGAUAAACAAAAAAGCCAAACUCAGUAGCUGCUGUGCCCUUUAAACCCUGUUUCCACUUUGAAGAAGUUUAGAGAGGUUGGAGUGACCCGCAUGUUUUCUAUACCGGACUAUGCACCGUACCCUCUCCGCGCUCUGGCAUCAGCAUUUCUCCCCCUCUCUUGUCUGAGAUGCAAACGAGUAGCUGCAUGUUGAGGUGCAUUUUGCUGCCUGUAGCGGAUAGGUGUUACCCCAGGUACAUAUCAGGAUCUGUAGUUAGCCACAAACCCUACACGGGCAUCCCAAUCAGCUCCAAGUCUCUGCCUUCUCCAGUGCGCCUGGAAGCGUUGCUGAGUGCAUGCAGUUGUGUGGGAAGAGGAGUAGCUUUCAUUUACCUGUAGAAUGCUAUUGUUUCCUUUAUCUCAUAUCUGAGCAGAAUGGAGUGGGAGAGCUGCUCUGCCCUCUCCCCGCAGCUUCAAGGGCAGUCGGGGUGUUCUGGGAUCGCACACGAUGUCUCAAACAGCCCAAGCAUCCAGUGUUGCCUCGUGGAAGGUUUUCUUCUUGGAAAAUCAGUGUGAAAUAAAAGAAUGUGAUUGUUUCAGGAAGGGAAGCCAGACAGCAGGAGAGCAAUAAACAAGUGAAAUUCUUAUCUUGCCUGAGUGAUUUGCACUUCAAUAGUUGUGAAAGAAAAUUUCCAGGACUCCAGUGCUUUUGUGUUUGAUUUUCAGCCCCUUUCGUACCUCCUUUCUAUGAGCAAGUGUGGAACUGUACAUAGGGUGUUUACAGGACGCUCCAUUUGGGUUAUUUUUCUUGUGGGUUUUUUUUUUUGCUCUAGCUUGAACUCUGUAUGGUCCAUUUGUUAAAUAGCCGUGAACACUUGAUGUACAGUACUUACUGAACAAGCAGCAGCACAAAACUUAUUUUAUUAAGAAAAUAUGGCUUAUAUUUUAAAGGUUGAAUAUCAAUUUUUUUUUUGUAUGUGUGGAAUUAAGACUGGUGAAGAGUUACAAAAUCCUUGGAUUAGGCCAAAAGAAAAUACUGUAAGAUCCUAACCACCUCUUUAUUAAAGAAAGCAGUAUGAUUAAAGAGCUCCAGAACAUUGUAUUUAUAUUGGAUUUGAUUUAAUUGCCUUUGUGGAUUUUUUUUUUUUUUUGCCUUGGUCCUGAUUUUUGCUUGCAACUUCGACUUUGCAGUCCCAAGUGUCUGUUACCCUGUAACUGUUGGCAGAAGACCUAAAUAAAAGCAAUGUGAUUA